rnacentral:rRNA from 1 species
UACGAAGGGGCUAGCGUUGCUCGGAAUCACUGGGCGUAAAGGUGCGUAGGCGGUCUUUAAGUCAGAGGUGAAAUCCUGGAGCUCAACUCCAGAACUGCCUUUGAUACUGAGGAUCUUGAGUAUGGAGAGGUGAGUGGAACUGCGAGUGUAGAGGUGAAAUUCGUAGAUAUUCGCAAGAACACCAGUGGCGAAGGCGGCUCACUG